rnacentral:rRNA from 1 species
GGGUUGUGAGGUUAAGCGACUAAGCGUACACGGUGGAUGCCCUGGCAGUCAGAGGCGAUGAAGGACGUGCUAAUCUGCGAUAAGCGUCGGUAAGGUGAUAUGAACCGUUAUAACCGGCGAUUUCCGAAUGGGGAAACCCAGUGUGAUUCGUCACACUAUCAUUAACUGAAUCCAUAGGUUAAUGAGGCGAACCGGGGGAACUGAAACAUCUAAGUACCCCGAGGAAAAGAAAUCAACCGAGAUUCCCCCAGUAGCGGCGAGCGAACGGGGAGCAGCCCAGAGCCUGAAUCAGUGUGUGUGUUAGUGGAAGCGUCUGGAAAGGCGCGCGAUACAGGGUGACAGCCCCGUACACAAAAAUGCACAUGCUGUGAGCUCGAUGAGUAGGGCGGGACACGUGGUAUCCUGUCUGAAUAUGGGGGGACCAUCCUCCAAGGCUAAAUACUCCUGACUGACCGAUAGUGAACCAGUACCGUGAGGGAAAGGCGAAAAGAACCCCGGCGAGGGGAGUGAAAAAGAACCUGAAACCGUGUACGUACAAGCAGUGGGAGCCUCUUUAUGGGGUGACUGCGUACCUUUUGUAUAAUGGGUCAGCGACUUAUAUUCUGUAGCAAGGUUAACCGAAUAGGGGAGCCGAAGGGAAACCGAGUCUUAACUGGGCGUUAAGUUGCAGGGUAUAGACCCGAAACCCGGUGAUCUAGCCAUGGGCAGGUUGAAGGUUGGGUAACACUAACUGGAGGACCGAACCGACUAAUGUUGAAAAAUUAGCGGAUGACUUGUGGCUGGGGGUGAAAGGCCAAUCAAACCGGGAGAUAGCUGGUUCUCCCCGAAAGCUAUUUAGGUAGCGCCUCGUGAAUUCAUCUCCGGGGGUAGAGCACUGUUUCGGCAAGGGGGUCAUCCCGACUUACCAACCCGAUGCAAACUGCGAAUACCGGAGAAUGUUAUCACGGGAGACACACGGCGGGUGCUAACGUCCGUCGUGAAGAGGGAAACAACCCAGACCGCCAGCUAAGGUCCCAAAGUCAUGGUUAAGUGGGAAACGAUGUGGGAAGGCCCAGACAGCCAGGAUGUUGGCUUAGAAGCAGCCAUCAUUUAAAGAAAGCGUAAUAGCUCACUGGUCGAGUCGGCCUGCGCGGAAGAUGUAACGGGGCUAAACCAUGCACCGAAGCUGCGGCAGCGACACUAUGUGUUGUUGGGUAGGGGAGCGUUCUGUAAGCCUGCGAAGGUGUACUGUGAGGUAUGCUGGAGGUAUCAGAAGUGCGAAUGCUGACAUAAGUAACGAUAAAGCGGGUGAAAAGCCCGCUCGCCGGAAGACCAAGGGUUCCUGUCCAACGUUAAUCGGGGCAGGGUGAGUCGACCCCUAAGGCGAGGCCGAAAGGCGUAGUCGAUGGGAAACAGGUUAAUAUUCCUGUACUUGGUGUUACUGCGAAGGGGGGACGGAGAAGGCUAUGUUGGCCGGGCGACGGUUGUCCCGGUUUAAGCGUGUAGGCUGGUUUUCCAGGCAAAUCCGGAAAAUCAAGGCUGAGGCGUGAUGACGAGGCACUACGGUGCUGAAGCAACAAAUGCCCUGCUUCCAGGAAAAGCCUCUAAGCAUCAGGUAACAUCAAAUCGUACCCCAAACCGACACAGGUGGUCAGGUAGAGAAUACCAAGGCGCUUGAGAGAACUCGGGUGAAGGAACUAGGCAAAAUGGUGCCGUAACUUCGGGAGAAGGCACGCUGAUA